CAGCCCUAAACGAUGCGCGUUAGGUGUAUCGGUGACCACGAGUCACCGAGGUGCCGAAGGGAAACCGUGAAACGUGCCGCCUGGGAAGUACGGUCGCAAGGCUGAAACUUAAAGGAAUUGGCGGGGGAGCACCACAACGCGUGGAGCCUGCGGUUUAAUUGGACUCAACGCCGGGAAGCUCACCGGAUAAGACAGCGGAAUGAUUGCCGGGCUGAAGACCCUGCAUGACCAGCUGAGAGGAGGUGCAUGGCGUAGUCGUGU
rnacentral:rRNA from 1 species